GAAAAUUAGCGGAGUGGUUAACGCGUUGGCCUGCUACCUUUCUCAUCACCGAGAUCGGAGUCAGCCAAUUCCUUCGGGAGCGUGUGUUCGAAUCACACAGGUGUCG